rnacentral:lncRNA from 1 species
AGACAGGCAAGAGAAGCACAAACACAGGCUGCGCACAUCACCAUUUCCUUCGCCACAUUGCAAUUGAGCACUUCCUCCUGGACUCUACCUGCUCCUUUCUCCACCUUCCCUGUGUCCAGGCCUUUUGGAGGCAGUGAUUCUCCAUCUAUGCGUAAGAACAAUGUCCUUGGGAGAAGCCUCUCCUGAGGCUGGCCCAGCUCGGAGUUCCUACAGGCACAGGGAGAGAUAUCAGAGUGCAAGGCAGUAAAUAGUCACCUGUAUCUUUGUGAAGAACUGGAAGUUGGUGUCAUCUAGCAAAAUGUUCUCUGUAUGAUGGAACUGAGAAGUGCUGGCUGCCUUCUAGCUGCUGUGGGACUGGCUGCGUAAGAAUGGAUCAUAUGUCACAUAUGAGGCUUUUCAGAUUUGACUUCCCUUUCUUUCCUUUCAUUCCCUGGAGGAUUUGGCGUAUUGGGAUCAGGGUGAAUAUUAGAAAUUAUAUUACUUUUGGAGACCAGAUAAAGAUGGUAGUUUUGGAUCAAGAUGUUCUAACAAUAUCGUGAUGGGUGUCAACACCUGGAUUAAUGAUCACAAGGGAAAGAUUCCCCUGUGGCUACACGGA